rnacentral:piRNA from 1 species
UGCCUUUUGCAGGGCAAGCAAUGCCUCA